ensembl:lncRNA
CUAGCCGUCGCCCUGUUGUGCCGCCGGGGGGCGCUCGGGCCCAGGCUGAUCUUUGGGUCGCGAGCUGGUGUCUCGCUGCUGUCAAGAGUCAGGCCGAGCGCUCGUGCUGGGCGGGUUGUGGAGCUUCAUCUAUCAGCUCCCCGGGCUCCGGCCGUCGGCCCCAGGGGCCGCUGAGGCGGAUAAUAGCUUCUGUUCUGCCGUGGCGUUGGCCCAGCAGCUCUGCGGCUUUUCUGGAAAAAAAAAAAAAAUUUCCUGUACACCUGCUCUCUCGAAGCGUGGUGUAGAGGUAGAGGUGAAAGCGCUCUCCUGGCCCUUUAGGUUCUCAGCGCUUCUCCACGCCCAGGAGGACUUUCCACGGUGUGUGGCGCAUCGUAGGGACUCGAGCAGCAUCGAUGGCGUUAAGUGGAACCGAAGAGAUAGCUACCAAGGUGCUGCCUCUGACUGGUGGAGAUUUAAAGCCACCCUGAAGCAAUGACAAGCUACCCUGGCCAAGGUUGGAGAGGCUGUCCUGUCAUAAAGCCCCCUAGGUCAUGAGGUCACAUGCAGCCACCGCUCUCCUUGUGAAAGGGAGGGGCUGUGGGCUGGACUCCCAGACUUAGUCCUGGAGCCCGAGGGAAGGUGCAUAGGCUGCCUGCACACUGAUACGGUCAGAGGAGGCCCUGGAAGUCGCUGCCAUCUGCGAGGCUGGCAGGCGUGGUAAGCCGUUUCACAAGGCCGCCCUCAGUAAAGCACCAGGCAGGUGGAAGUUGCCUCAGGACCCCGGCUGCCUCCGCUGCUCCCCUUGCUACUCAGUGGUCCCCCUUACCCCACUGCUUCUCUCACUCCGGACUCACUCUCUCUCCUCCAGACUUUUGCUCAGAAAAAGCCUGCUAACUUUGCUCACACCAAGUUAUAAAUGACCAAAAAUAUCUUACUGUUGAAUAUACUGUUGGAAAUAUUCGAAGAAAAAGUGAUUCGCUGUAGUCGGAGGGAAGGUGCUGGGGUGCCCCGCAGAGAGAGAGGGUGAACUGCGGCCUUAAAAGGGCCACUGGAUUGGGUGACUCGGAGCACACUGGUCACUUUGGUAAAGAGAUUUCAGAGGUUUGUG